rnacentral:lncRNA from 1 species
CUCUCCGCCGGCCACGGCUGUAUGCUCCAGUACGCCCUCCUCCACCUCGCCGGCUACGACAGCAUCAAGGUCCCCCCCACCCCCAUCCCUUCUGUCCAUCCAUUUAUCUCUAUCUCUAUCUCUGUCUCGUCACUGCAUCUCUACCUCUGUCUCGUCGCUGCCGUACUGCUGCAGCUGCUACUUCUUCCAUCUCAUCCCCUCAAUCUGCAUAACAUGGUGUCGAAGUUAACGCUAGUCCUAAGCUUCCUCAGUUUUCCGUUCCGGGAGAUGUUUAGUUGAAUUCUCACAUCUGCCAUUUUAGCGACGUAUAUACAUUCUCCUUUGUUAGUCUGUUAACUCUCCUGUGUGGCAUGGUUCGUCUGAGCUAGCCCAUGCGCCCGAGCCAUCGUGUUAAUAUUUUGUGAUGACCCUGUUUACUUACCUCUGUCCGUUAUAUACUUGUUUCCGGAACAAUUACGCUUUCAUUUGCUAUUACCUACGUAGAGUUUUGAUGGUUCAGUAAUGAUAAAACGAAUAUCUGAAUCCUAAGCUCCUCUUUCAUCAUCGAGCUUCUGAUCCUUC